GGAAAAGAAACCAACAGGGAUUGCCUCAGUAACGGCGAGUGAAGCGGCAACAGCUCAAAUUUGAAAUCUGGCCCCAGGCCCGAGUUGUAAUUUGCAGAGGAUGCUUUUGGCGCGGUGCCUUCCGAGUUCCCUGGAACGGGACGCCAUAGAGGGUGAGAGCCCCGUCUGGUUGGACACCAAGCCUCUGUAAAGCUCCUUCGACGAGUCGAGUAGUUUGGGAAUGCUGCUCAAAAUGGGAGGUAUAUGUCUUCUAAAGCUAAAUACCGGCCAGAGACCGAUAGCGCACAAGUAGAGUGAUCGAAAGAUGAAAAGCACUUUGAAAAGAGAGUUAAAUAGCACGUGAAAUUGUUAAAAGGGAAGCGUUUAUGACCAGACUUGGGCCGGUUAAUCAUCCAGCGUUCUCGCUGGUGCACUUUGCCGGUCCAGGCCAGCAUCAGUUCGUCGCGGGGGAUAAAGGCGUCGGGAAUGUGGCUCCUCGGAGUGUUAUAGCCCUUCGCGCAAUACCCUGCGGUGGACUGAGGUUCGCGCUCUGCAAGGAUGCUGGCGUAAUGGUCAUCAACGACCCGUCUUGAAACACGGACCAAGGAGUCGUCUUCGUAUGCGAGUGUUCGGGUGUAAAACCCCUACGCGUAAUGAAAGUGAACGCAGGUGAGAGCUUCGGCGCAUCAUCGACCGAUCCUGAUGUUCUCGGAUGGAUUUGAGUAAGAGCAUACGGGGCCGGACCCGAAAGAAGGUGAACUAUGCCUGUAUAGGGUGAAGCCAGAGGAAACUCUGGUGGAGGCUCGCAGCGGUUCUGACGUGCAAAUCGAUCGUCAAAUAUGGGCAUGGGGGCGAAAGACUAAUCGAACCUUCUAGUAGCUGGUUUCCGCCGAAGUUUCCCUCAGGAUAGCAGUGUUGAACUCAGUUUUAUGAGGUAAAGCGAAUGAUUAGGGACCCGGGGGCGCUAUUUAGCCUUCAUCCAUUCUCAAACUUUAAAUAUGUAAGAAGCCCUUGUUACUUAAUUGAACGUGGGCAUUCGAAUGUAUCAACACUAGUGGGCCAUUUUUGGUAAGCAGAACUGGCGAUGCGGGAUGAACCGAACGCGAGGUUAAGGUGCCGGAGUAGACGCUCAUCAGACACCACAAAAGGUGUUAGUACAUUAUGACAAUAGGACGGUGGCCAUGGAAGUCGGAAUCCGCUAAGGACUGUGUAACAACUCACCUAUCGAAUGUACUAGCCCUGAAAAUGGAUGGCGCUCAAGCGUCUCACCCAUACCUCGCCCUCAGGGUAGAAACGAUGCCCUGAGGAGUAGGCGGACGUGGAG
rnacentral:rRNA from 1 species